AUGACCAAAAAUAACUUGCUCAAGAGGGGAAUUGAAAAACCCCCGGAAUGUGUUUUCUGUCUAGAACAAGAAACGGUUGAUCACUUGUUCUUUGGUUGUGUGGUUGCCAGGAAAAUCUGGAGCGAUAUAUCAAAUUUCUUCUCUAUUGAUUUAGGUGCAAAUUAUCUACCCAUUGCCAGGUUUUGGUCGGCUAACAAAAAACACACAGCUAUGAAUGCUUUUGUGGCUUGUGUCUUGUGGAGCAUAUGGAAAACUAGAAACAACCAUGUGUUUAAUAACGCUGUCUGGUCUGACUUGAAGCAGAUAUGGUGGCAAGUCUGGAGGACGCUCAAAAGAUGGAUGAUCCUGUACAAAGGGGAGUCGCUGGAGAAGCUUCAGCAAAUCUCAUGCUGGAUAUCCAGCAUUCUCGCAGCCCCUUUUCAGUUGACAGUGGGGUGA
rnacentral:rRNA from 1 species